CCUGAAAUACUCCCUAAAGCCUGUUCAAUUUGAGAGAGAAUCUCCAUUGCAUUGAGUAAUAUCAUACCAUCAUAUCAUGUUAAUUACCAUUUUUACACAGCUACCUUAAAACCGUGUGCAAGUAGGGCUGCUGAAGCUUCCUCGAACCUGUCCUUAAAAAAGAAACAUGGAAGGGGCUGUAAGUUAAGGUACAACUCAGACGCUCAUUGUCCCUAGCUGGGUUACCAAGAUGGACUAAACAGCAAAAGGAGGAUUCAGUCACAGAUUUAAUUAAAGAUAAUCACCAGGAAGACUGGCAGGACAAACACAUCUGUUAUUUCAUACAUUUCCUAACAUGAGCUGUAUGAAGGGACUGAGCAUUUUAGUCUUGCUCUGAUUAUUUUUCUCUGUAAUACAACAAUACCAUGGGUAGCAACUAAGUAUGUUAAUGUUUAAAGUAGCUUGCUUCCUUUAAAAGUACAGCCAUAGUGAAACACUAGAGCAGAAAAUAGUUCCUGGUAUAGAAUGUGAUGUAUUUCUGAAUGAAUUAUUAUUUAUACUGAAGCUAAGGAUGACAGAAUUAUGUUUGAACUUAUAGUGCAUAACAGUGACAUGAGCUGCAGAAUGGGCAUUGCUCUCAUAAACAUUUUGCUUCCUUUCCCCAAUAGAUUGUGGCAAACAGUGAUCAUGACUCUGGUAACAGAAGCCACACACUGACCAUGCUCCUCCUCUCAGUCUUGCUGGCUGCAUAGCUCUUCUUCUCACUAAGCAAGGCAGUAACAAGUACUUGUUUGAAUUUCAGUGACUUCCGAUGAAAUGCAUGCUGAGUAGAAAUGUAUGCUCUGUUUGUGCAAGAAUACUUGGCCUCCAACAUGAUAGUAGAGAAGAGGCUGAAAAAGAGAUGCCUGUAACGAUGCCUGUAAUCCUACAUGUUAAUGUGGCUGUGCACUUGUGACCCAUUUGGGGACUGUUGAUUGGCACAAGGUAGGCAGCAGUGGAGUGAUGGCGGUGGAAGGAAAGCACAACUGUCUGCAUCUGCCCCCUAAAUCUCUGUCUGAAGGAGGAUUGGAGGCUGGAGCAAAACAUGAGGACCUGUGUGGCUUUAUGAUGACCUUGGAACAAGGGUGACACCACAGGGAAGCUCCACCUGUGUGUAGGACAGGAGAAACCAUGAUGAGGAUUGAUCCAACAGAAUGUAGUGGCUCCCUUGGAUCCCACAGAGGCCUAUUGAGGUCUAUAGAUCUGUAUUUAAGGACUCCCUAAUAGACCUCAUGAAUGGCCUGGCAGACCACGACUGCUGCAAAGGAGACACUGCCAGGGACGCUAUAAAUCUGACCUGAGGUAGCUAAGCAUCACCUUGGAGGCUGCCCAAUGUGCACACCACACCCAGGAGCAGAAAGGUUGGUGUUCAUGCUUGGAAUUGUGAUGUCCUUGGAUCAUUUAGUGAUGUUGAUCGGGCUGAAAACCUCUUUGAUGUGGUCAUAUAAUAGCAAACAAUCAGAUGGAGAUAAGUGGAAAAAGCUCCUAAAACCAGUAAGUUCUCUAUGUCCCCUAAUGUAGUGUUUCUGUACAAAUUAGUGUGCUUUUCUUUUCCUGUUUUACCCUUUUUUAUUUAUAUUUUUUCCCUGAAGGGCUCCCGAGUAGUGUCUUUGCAUGUAAAAUUACAGCCUACAGCAAGUUGUUGCUGCUGAUGAAUUACAAACUGCUUAAAGACAGGGCUGUAAGGGAAAUUCUGACACAAGCUUCAGUACAGCAGCACAGACUUGUUUCCCAGACACCAAAAUAAACCAAUAUUUUCCUUUUGAAAUAGUUCUAUUAAGUCAUCCCCAGCUUUCAAAUCCUCCUCCAUUUCUUUCCUGAUUCCUGUUCUGAGUUAUCUGUGUUGUUUUGAAAAGGAGAGUCUCCAGCCUAAGCCUGUGCUCCAAAGUCCUGCUGUUUGUUGCCUAAGGAGCACACAAAGGUUUAGAUUGCAUCUUUUCAAUGCAUUAUGGCACCGCAGCCUAAAGCCAAUACUUGUUUUUUAACUGGCAACCUGCCUGUACGAAUGGAGGAAGCAGAUUGCCUCUUUGCUGAACACUUAGACAAGGUACUGAUUUAACAACAGUGGACAAGCAGCUGGGAGCUGGGCUGUCAGCCUGUCACACACUGACAAAUCUGUUGUUCAUAUUCAGGCAGGAUGUUCCAGUUAGAUUGCCAUCAGUAUCAUCCAUCUACCACAGGCAUGCGAGGCGUACCCGCAUCGCCUGCAUACCCAUGGACAAAAUGCUGUUUAUACAGCUUUCCGAAGGAAUCUUAAGAAAACUACUAAUAUGCUGUUGUUUUUGUGUGUGUGUGUUUUGGUUUGGUUUUUUUCCAUGUGGUCUUCUGCAACAAGAUCAGCAAGAAAACAGAUUUAAUUUUUGUCUCUUCCUUUGUUUCCCAUUCGGUAUGCUGGAAUUAUGCGUGCAAAUUGGUGGUUACUCCAAUUUCAUGUCUCGAGCAUGAAAAGAAACCUCUGAGUGGAGCCUUUCCACUUUUUAUCAAGCUAUGAAAGAUUUUUCAAAAUUGAAUUUGAUGAAAUACAAACUAAAAGAAAGUCUAAAAGCAAAAAAAUGCAGAUUAAUGACCACACAUAGAAAUGACAUUGUUCCGGUUUCCAGACUGAUUUUCAACAUAUUUUCAUAUAACCACUGUGUUUGUAACACAGAAAUAGUGCACUCCUGAAUUGUUUCAUCUGUGUGGCAGAGCUCAGCCUGCAAGGGAAUGCUCAGCUGAAACCUGUCUGCCCCAUGUUCAUGUUCAUCAGCUGCCAUCGGUCCACACUGGGCUGUGCAGGAGCAGGUGCAGGGAGGGUGUGUGUGUCAAAGCGGUAGAACACGUGCUGUAAAUAUUUUAACCCAACCAUACUCUUACCUACUCCUUUCUUUUUCUGUUUUUUCUUUUUUUUUUUUUUGGUUUAAUUUGGAAAAGCUGCUUUUGAAUACUCUGAUUGUAUAUUCAGCGGAUUAUAGUUUUAAAUUAUCUGUCCUUAUGUCAUAGUUAUCCAAUUUGCAGCCCUGUGUGCCCUUUAUCUUUUCCUGUUUCAGCUUCAGUUCUAUAAUCUCAAAGCCCACAAAAGGAACUCCUAAAUUUAUCUAGGGAAGGAAAAAAAAAAAUAAAUAAAGGUACAUCUGUAUAAUUUCAUGUGAAUUUACCAUCUGAAUUGCUGCUCUCUGUUCAUCACCUCUGAGUGAUAGAAAUAACCUGCAGCUCUCUCAAGGAGGUGACGGAGGAAAGAGUCCGGUUAACUUUCUCAGGGUGUUAUAUACCUUUUUACAUUCACAGACAGACACUGGUGUAAUUUAGAACAGUAAUGACUCUGAAAAGUGGUAAGCUAGUCAGAUUCUUAGUAUUAAUCUAUAUCCUUUCACAUUUUAACCUAAUACUGCAAAAAUCAUAAUGUGACAUACAUUUACGUAGUGUAUAAUUUAAUCAGCUAAUAUCUUCAAGUCCUCUCUGUAGCCUCUUCAAUAUAAUACCAUUUCUGGUCAAGAAAGCCAUUUAACUUCACUAUAUUUUUCACAGUAAGGUUCAAGAUCUUCUGGAAAACACCAAGUUCAUGUAGGUUAGUUACAUUUCCUGUCUAAAAGAAAAAGAAGAGCCUUGCAAUUUUAAGCUCUUUUUUCUUUUCUUUUUCCAGUAAACCUUCAGAGUGCUGAGAGUCAUAUAAAAGGUUGGUGAAACAUGCAUAAAGAGGGCAGGCUGAUGAUCUACAGGAUUUUCUUUGUUGAAGCAGCCACUGCCCGAAGCCUGGUCUGUUAAAACAACCCUACAGGUUUGUCAGUCUUCAAAUGCAGGCUGUAGGCACAGCAGGCUUUACAAUUCCCUCUUCUUGGGAAAACUAUGUCAUCAAUGCAAUUUGGACUCUCUUCUGGCAAGUAGUAGUAGCAUCUAAUGUUAAACUUUGAGCAGUCUCCAGCUUUGCUGAUGUGUCUGGUAACAGAGAAACAGCAGAAGAGGCUGUAAUGCAAACAACUGAAGAUCUUUCUAAUCUGUAACUCAUGUCUCAGCAUCUGCUGGAUCUGACCAUAAGGAACAUGUAAAAGAUUUUCUUCCUGCUCUGUUGGUUUUCCCAUUCUUUCACAACUCAGUUCAUGUAUUUCUGUGAUGGAUUCAGAGCUCAGUAUUGACUGCAAACCUGACCUGGCUCCCGCUGAAGACAGUGGCAGGACUCCCAUUGACUUUGACGGCAGAUGGAUCUGAAGUGGAAUGUGAAUGAGCAGAUAUGUUCUGGAUGUUUAAGACAUUUAUUGACUCUCAGACUUCAGUUCUGCCCAAAGCAGAAUGAAGUUAAACAAUUGUGGGUUAAUGAUUUUUAUUUUGACAUGAGGACAGUGAUGGGGGGGUAAAAGAGAAGCGCUCCUCCUAAUUAUACUAUUGACAUAACAGGUUAUAGAAGUGCGCAAUGAGGCCCUGCUACAGCAAAGCAUCUAAGCGCAGGCUUAAAAUUAAGCAUUUAUUUAAGGGUUUUGCUGAAUAAGGAUGAGAUCAUUCACAUACUUAAAGUUAAAUGCAUGCUUAAGUGCUUUGCUGAAUCUGGGCCCAGAUACAUAAACCAUUAAACAGUCACUUUAAGAAAACGGUGGAAAGCUGUUAUACAAAUUCUAGACCUUUUAAGUCAUACCUCCUACAUUUCCCACUCUCUCUCUUAUUAGCUCAAGGAGGAGGUUUUUAAAGCUCCAGUUCACCAAAAAUUAUAAUGUUCAUUGCUACUCAAUUGUAAUUCAAAUUGCUCCACACAGCCCCAAGCAUGUGUUCAAACAUAUAAUCAAGCAAACAGGAGACUUGAAUCUUGCCAGUUGGAAUACUGUCGGUCGCAGAUGCCACUUUUUUUUUUCCUUUUUUUUUUUUUUUUUUUUUCAAGCACAAAUGAAUCUAGGGAGGAAGGUUGAUAUAAGCUGGCUUUUGCUGUCCAUUUUUGGCGCUCUGUUCCUGUGGUUCGGGUUAUUUGGGUACAUGUUGCUUUGUGUCUGUUAGGGCUCUAUUUAUUUUUUUUUUCCUUUCUCUACUGUGGUCAGAGGAGUAGUACUCAUCACCUGGAGUGAAGGCUGACAGGAAUGAACAUAGGCAGGAAGCAGCGUGACACACACAUUGUCAUGCAUGACUGACCAGCAGCCAUCAACAGCAAUUAAACAUUGAGAGCACUGGAUCUUUUUGGACAGGUUCAAGUUUCCUGGCACUGCUGUGAUUAGAUGUUUUGCGCUGUUUCCCUGUAGUCAGUAUGUGACACAUUUCCUUUUGCUUGCUCUUUUCUAAUGUUUAUUUUUGCACUGUCCUGGUGUUAGCAUCUUCUCAUAGCAAAUGAAUCACUUAGAAAGAGAUCAUUUUCAAGGAGAAUUGUAAGGAAGGUUAAAGAUAAAAUGGAUAUAAAAAAUAACACUUUUUUUUAAACAAGAAAUACCCCUCUUUCUGUUGAACGUCAUAGUGUUUAAAUGUUUUUUGAGUAAGCACAGUUGUCCAUGAGUUUCAAUGGGAGAAAUAUCUGUGAAUGGCAGAAGCCAUUGAAGAAUAACAGAGCCCUUUGGUUCUACCCAAGUGGCUGUAAUUUUACUGUAAUUUGAGGUGACAAAAAAAAAAAAAAAAAAAAAAAAGCCCUUAAAGGCAACACUGAAGUGAAGAGCGGCUGCAGUUACAGUGGGCUGUCACUUGCUUGCCCUCAUUUCAGGGCUGAGAUCCAAAGCAUCCCCACUGCCCAGCAUUUAACUGAGGCCCAGACUUCCCAGGCCAGGUCCAUGGCUUGGCACAACAUCCUGCACAGAGCAACUCUGCACCGUAGCACCAGAGGUUGCAGCAAAAGGCCUUUUGGCACACAACUCGAUCUCAUGUCUAAUUGAAUAGUCACAGGGUGUGUGGCCAGAAAGUCUUGUCAGAGCUCAGUUCUAACCCCAUCUAUUGUCAGCUUCUCCCCUCCCCCAGAUUGAGUCCAAAAUCUCUUAUGUGAUUAAUUAAUUGCCUCUGUUAAUUUGUGACCUUCCAGACUCUACAAGGACCCAGAAAGUGCACUAAUAAAUUGCUUGAUUUCUAUGUAGGAAACUUUCAUACCUACAUCUUUUCCAUCUUUCACCUUGCAUGUGCAUGACAUGGCCCCAAACGUGGUUUCAACUGAAGGAAACAAAGAGAUGAGAAAUAAACAGACCAAGCAUCUCAGCCUGGAACGUCAUCUUCAUCUGUGAGUCCGAAUUUGGACCUGCUGCUGAUGAGUUGGAAAAGCAAUUGUGGCAUGAACAAUGAGUCUUUGGGUUGACAGCCUACGGGAGCUAUUCGGCAGCUUCACAGACAGGCUUCCCAAUGUAAAUGAAGAUGAGAAAGUGCAUGAAAAAUCGAUCAUGCACUAGAGACAACACUUACUUCAUUAACUACCUUCAGCACUAACCUCUUGAACACUGUUAGUAAACCUAUUAUGUCACAGCUGAGAUGCAUUUGAAGAUUUUGCUCUGAGAAUUUAAACAAAGCUAUAUAAGAACACAAACCAGAUUAAGAAGUAUUACCAUAUAGAGCAACUGCUAGUUGUUGACGUCAGUAAAAUAUUGUCUGUUAUGAUACUUAUUAGGGAAUGUGAUAACAAUGAUUAAAAUUUCCUAAUACCGUGAUAAAAUUUUUAGCUGUUGCUUGGAAAGAAAAAAAGAAAAAAAAAUAAAGAAAAAAAAAAAAAAAGAGUAUUCUGCAGUGUAUGGAAUGCAAAUAUUUCUGAGAAAUGCUGUCAUGUGAUGGGGAUACUAACAAGACCUUCUUAGUAAGAGCUGAUGAUCUGGUUUUGGAAUCCACUCAGGUAAGUGAUGUAAAAUACAUACCUAUAUAUAUAGCCAUACAAGGGCUUCUCCAAGAGUAAUGCCUCCUAUUUCAGUGUGUUGACCCACUAUGUCGGAGGCAGAUAUUGAUGGUAUGACAGUAGAGUUUGAAACUUCCCACCAGUAUCCCAUUACAUGUUGUUCUUGUGUGGCAGAUGGCAGCAGAGGGACAGCAUGUGACAUUCAAGUGCAUACGAAGCAAAGGAGUGUCACUGAAUUCCUCCAUGUGGAAAUCACUGCACCCACGGACAUUCACCAAUGCUUGCUGUGAAUGUCUGUGGAGACCAAGCAGUGGAUAUGAACACAGUGAGUUGGUGAGUGGUGCGCUUCAGCAGUGGCAACAGCAACAGUGGGUCAUCUCUACUGACGUAGAUUCUUAUGAAUAUAGCACGUAGGAUCUUGUUCAUUGCUGGUGAAAAUGCAGU